rnacentral:rRNA from 1 species
CUUCGGGGAUGGAUCAGUGGCGAACGGGUGAGUAACACGUGGGCAAUCUGCCCCUCACUGUGGGAUAACUCCGGGAAACCGGGGCUAAUACCGCAUAUGAAGCCUGGCGGCAUCGCCGGGUUUGGAAAGUUUUUCGGUGAGGGAUGAGCCCGCGGCCUAUCAGCUUGUUGGUGAGGUAAUGGCUCACCAAGGCGACGACGGGUAGCCGGCCUGAGAGGGCGACCGGCCACACUGGGACUGAGACACGGCCCAGACUCCUACGGGAGGCAGCAGUGGGGAAUAUUGGGCAAUGGGCGAAAGCCUGACCCAGCGACGCCGCGUGCGGGAUGAAGGCCUUCGGGUUGUAAACCGCUUUCAGCAGGGAAGAAGCGAAAGUGACGGUACCUGCAGAAGAAGCACCGGCUAACUACGUGCCAGCAGCCGCGGUAAUACGUAGGGUGCAAGCGCUGUCCGAAAUUAUUGGGCGUAAAGAGCUCGUAGGCGGUUUGCUACGUCGGAUGUGAAACCCUGAGGCUCAACCUCAGGCCUGCAUACGAUACGGGCUAACUAGAGUGUGGUAGGGGAGACUGGAAUUCCUGGUGUAGCGGUGAAAUGC